GUUGAUGUAUAUUGAGCUCAAAUCCUGCACCUUGGUUUAGUGCUUAUAGUAUUCACCGCAUCGCACGCUCGCCUUGGAUCCAAGUAGAUGCUGGUCGCACAGUCCACGCGGAGUGGGUGCGACGGGCCAGUCGAAGAGUGUUAGUGAGAUUUCGACUGGUGGGUGACCUUAGAUUAUGUGCACAGAUGAUUAAUGAGAGAAGCACUAGAGCGUAACCUAUGUGCAGAAGGCCGUACAUGUCACAGAGGUGACUCCGGCAGAGUGAUAGUGAUAGAUUUUGAGCUCUAGAUUCAACCGUACAGGGCUAUUAGAGGGCCUCCGGUUGAUUUCUUUCUUGCACCUGAUAUGAUUAUUGUUGAUGCAUUCAUACUUAACUGUUCAAUUUAGACAUGGCAUGGCAUAACUGAUAUGAAAAAUGUUGAAAAAGUGAAUUGAAGUUUGAGAUUAUAUAUGUAUAUUUAUAUUUUACAUUUCUGGGAAAGUAUACAGGUUUUACGGAGAGGGGUUACAACGUUUUGAGAAAUGUUUGGAAUUGGAAAAGAAUUGUUUUACUGACCCACUCAAUUUUGGUUUUGCGCCCCUCCAGGUUCAGGAAUCACAAAGGUGUGGUGACUACGAGGAAUUCAGCGGGGUUCUGACAGAUUGGACAAAAUUAGGACUCACCUUCGGGUGUAUCAAAUUAUAAAUUGUAUAAUUAAAGCUUCCGUACUGUGCAAAUGGUUACGUCACUCUCACGUGACGGCCAGCAUGCCCUCCUUCGGGACGGGGUGUGUCAGUUGGUAUCAGAGCAUGGUUGCAAUCUUGGACAUCUUGAGAAGUUUCUAGUGAAUUCUGUCAGAACUACACCGCCUCGUAGCAAGCUACGUAGUUAGAGGAACUUAGUCUCCCUGAUUUAGCGGUUUAGGAGGACACUAUUACUAUGGUGAUUCAGUCUAUUGUCUAAAGGGACAUUUUAAGAUGGGUAAUGAGUUGAACUUGAAUCACUUAAGAGAAAUGAUGAACCUGAGGGAGCGAAGUAACGGUUUAACCGUUUGGAAAAGAAGUUUCGGAUUAUGCGAGUCAAAGGAAUCUUCCUUCUGACAAGGCGUCGAGACGACUACCUGGUUUUGGUUAUGAAUUUGUAUCCUGGUGGAAACAGGAGUAUGAUUUGUUGUCACCGGAGGAACAGUCGAUUGAGAAUUGUUUAAGGACUUGUUUAAGGAAAAGUUUAUCCCUCCGGCAUUUAUCGAUGGUAGUAAGCAAGAGUUUGCAAAUGUGAAUCAAGGAAGUUGACGAUAAAUGAAUAUUAUAGAAAGUUUUCAGACUAGCCUCGUUCCAUCCAGAUAUUGUUGUUAAUUUGGUGGAGGUGUUAUGUGUUUUAAGCUGGGUGGCAAAAGGGAAAUGGUAUUUUGGGUGACCACUAUCCAUUGUAGUUCUUAUCAGGAGUAUGCUAGAUGUUGUUGAGCCUUGAGGACUCUGAGAACAUGAGCAACGAGAAUAAAGAAGAAUAAGAAAUGAAUGGGAAUCAAAAGAAGACGAUAAAGUUAAUGAUUCGUCAUAUCAAGGAUAUAGAAAGAUUCAGAGCUUCGAAAGAAGUGAAGCUAGAGUUAAUUCUUCCAGCUGAGGUUUUAAUGUCGCUGGUCAGAGUAAAAGUGAUGGAUAUACUGGUAAUCCCAGAUAUUUGAGACAAGGUGUCUCGAGUAAAGGAAAUGUACCUUGUGCAGCAGGUACAAAAUUAACACUUUGGGAAGUGUGAAAUUAAUGAAUGUGUUUAUGUGAACAGAGGGGACACAGAAUUGUGAAUCGUCCCUAGAAUCAGUUGUACUCAACAAUUUUCCAUGAUAUCAUAGUGUCAAUUCAGCAGGUUUAUGAACUUAGUAGUUUGGUCGGAUUGACCGUGAGUACAGAGAGAUUUGAUGAAUUAUAUGUUCAGCCGUACAGACCAUGAGAAAUUAGUGAGUUAUAGGCUCGGCCGUACCGACCACGCGGAGUGGAUCCGGCCGACGUAUUAUUGAGAUGAGAGUUGAAUCAGCCGUAUUGGUCAUUCUAAUUGACUUCGGCUGAUAUAUUUCUUAUUAUGUAUGUUAUUACCUAGAGAGUAGUAAAUAAAUGUAGUUGAGACGAGUGUAUGUAUUUUGCAUUGAGUGACAAAAUAGUAAUGUUAUAUUUUUUUGAGUGGUUGCCUACUUAUCGAGACAACGAUGAUUUAUCAGUAUUGCGGGCUGCAGACCGUAAUAUUAAUAACUCAUUCGUGGAUUCGUUAAGCAAGCAAACCGGUAGGUUAUUUUAUGUUAGUGUUGUACUUAUUCAGAAUGCUUAGUAAUAAUAGAAUAUAUAUUGUGUCGGUUAAAUUAUUUCCAUUAGAUUGGUUGGUUAUAAUUGUGACUAGAUGGAUUGUUACGGGAAACCAGUCACUUUCCAUCGAUCUGGAUGAUCAGAGGUUACCUUAAUGAGUGGGCAUGCAAAGUGAAGUGAGUUCAGCCAUUAUUUAUGCUGUGAAAACAAAGAGAUUGUUUUGAAAGGCUGCCCAAAAAUACUUAGUUCAUGUGGUACUAAAUGAUGUUGUUUGGAGUAGUGUGAAUAAUGUCAAAAGGGUUAGACUUUUCUUGAUGUCUUCCUUGAAAGUAUACCUGGAUUGCCUUCGGGCAGAGAUAUGAGGUUCACUAUUGAAUUGUUGCCAGGUAUAAAUUUAUGUUAAAGAAUUGGUUGAUAAAAGUUUUAUUCAACCGAGUACAACACUUUUGAGGAGCCCCAGUUCGUUGAUGAGAAAGAAAAUGGACUUUAAAGACUAUUCAUUGAUUAUAGACAAUGGAGUCGGGUAACGAUUGAGAACCGUUAUCCAUGGUGAUGUACUGAUGUUUAUUUAACCAGCUCAGAAGUAAUUGCGAAGAUUCAAAGAUUGAAUUGAGAUCUGGUUACUACCAAUUGAAUAUUAUAAGUGACGUUGCUCAUAAGAUGGUUUUCUGGACUUGUUAUAGUCUUUAUGAAGUUUGGUGAUGUUAUAUGGAUACUCAUGUUGUUUUAUGAGUUGAUGGAUGAAGUAUUCCACGAAUGCCUUGAUAAAUUGAUAUCAUUUUCAUUGAAGAUAUUCUGGCAUAUUCUGAGCCAGAGCAGAGCAUGUAAACGUAUUAAGUCGGUGGAACAAAGAUUGGAAGAAUGUCGAUUGUAUGCUAAGUUUAGCAAAUGCGAAUGUUGGAUGAAUCAAGUAGCAUUCUGAGAUUUGUUAUAUAUUCUUAAGGUAUUCAAGUGAAUCCUUAAAAGAUAGCAGAAAGUGAGGAAUUGGAACAACCACGAGUUGUAAUUGAGAUUCGGAAUUUCUUAGCUUACCAGGCUAUUUUGGAUGGUUGUGAAAGAAAUUUUAGUCAUUGCUUUGUCAUUGACGAGACUGUUGAGAAAGGAGGUUAUGUAUGAGUAGGAAGGAAAUUGUGAGCAAAGGAUUCAACAACUGAAGUAUUUCCUCACUCAUGCACGUGUAUUCCCAGAGAAUGGUGGUACUCAUAUAUUUUUAGUGAUGUUUCUUGAAUGGUAUUGGAGGCAUGUUGAUGCAAAUGUUAGGGUGAUUGCAUACAUUUCACGAUAAAUGGAAUCUCAUAAGAUGAAUUACCCUACGGGUGACUUGGAAGUCACGAUUACCAUCCUUGCUGUGAAGUUAUGGAGACAUUAUAUUUGUUAAGAAUGCAAGAUUUUUUACGAACCCAAAAAGUCUUCAAUAUCCAUUACUUGGAAGGAUUUUGAUAUGAGGCAGCGAAGGUGAAUUGUAUUGCUUAAUGAACAUGAUUGUACGACCAGGGUGAUCGUAAAAUUGUUCUAGCUGAUACACUUGGUGAAAAGAUUGCAGUAAGAUUAAUGUCUGGCACGUUUGCCAAGAGUAUCAUCUUGUGGAUUGAAAACCAACGGAAGAAAAAUUAAGAAUGGAAGAUCGAGAAGAAGUUAUAUUUAUUAAAUUUUCAAGUUAGGCCUGUUUGGUAAGGUCGUACUCGAAACUUAAAUGUUUGACGAGGAAAUUUAAGAAUUAACCAAGGCAGAGAAAGAAGGGAAAAAGAAUGAGUACAUGAUUCGUGAAUCAAAUGGUAUGUGGAUACAAGCAAACGAAAAAGUAUGUGCCUAAUGCUGAGGAUUUGAAGCAAGCAAUUUUGGACAAAGUACACUGUUCAGCUUCUGCAAUAUUCCAAAAGUAAUAAGAUUUAUCAUACCACUCGACAGUUUUAUUUGAUCAGCAGAUUGAGGCAGAAAGAGAUAAACCUUUGGAUUGAGACAGCUAUUUUCUGUUUCGCAGCGGAAAUGGAAAAAGAUUACUUUGGAUUAUGUGUACAAGCUUCCUUGUACACAUAAUGGUUAUGGUCGAAUUUGAAGUGUUAGUUGGUCAAUGUACCAAGUUAGUACAAUUACUCCAGUGCUGAGUAAUAACUUUUCCCAGACAGGACAACGGUACUUAUUUGCUUUAUGGAAAGAAGAAUUGGUUUACGGAACUGCUGAGUUUCUUAAGUAUGUUGGUUGUGCAGUUUCUGAAGUAACGCCAUAAGAACCAUGAAAUGUGUCAUGUGAGUCGGUUUUUGUUGACUUGUGGAUGGAAUGUUGCUGGUUAGAGAAAGAUUCGAUCACGAAAGAAGUUUAGUAUACCCAGAAACUAUGGAGGAGUCUCCUAAAAGUAUUCAGGUGAUUAAGUGAACCUGAAAGUAACCAGGAGUGGCAAAAGAGAUUAACAGAAGGAUAUGCCACUAAUCAAGUGUUUAACGUAGAAGGUUUUAUAUUUUCGAAGUUUUCACCUUGGAAAAGUAUAGUUCGAUCUGGAAAGAAUGUAAGUUAAAUCCUAAGUGAAUCGGACUUUAAGUGAUUAUCGAAAAGUUGGUGAAGUUGAUUACAGAUUUGAAUGGCUUCCAGAGUUGUCGUAAGUGCAUGAUGUGUUUUAUGAUUUGAUGCGUUGUCACUAGGUGGCAGAUUCGUCACAUGAGAUUCUGGUGCAACUAUUGAGAAUUAAACUGGAUCUGAUUGAUAAGGAACUAAGGACGAUUUUGGAUUGGAGAAAGGAAGUCCUAAGAAUUAAAACAGUGUAAGUGGUAAAAGUUUUGUGAAGAAAUUAUUCGAUGGAAGAAAUUACGUGGGAGAAAGAGAAUCGGAUGAGAGAGAUUUACCCGAGGCUAUUGUAUGAGUAUGGUUGAUUUAGUUGGUUGCUGGAAUUUCGGGGACGAAAUUCUAUAAGGAGGGAAGAUUGUCACAGCCCGUCCCGGAAUUUUUCAUUCCGAGGACGUGAAGUUACGAAAAUGUCCCUAAACGGGACUAAAGUGCGUAAUUUGGACGCCUGUUUUUACUUAAGGUUCUUAAACUUUGUUGAAUUGGAAUAUUAAUUGGUUUUAGAAACCUAAACCAAGACUUAUACUUAGGUUUCUAUGUUGAAAGUUUGAAAUUGGAAAAAAGACCACGUGGGAUCCCCACAUCCCUCAAAACCCUCCUCAUUUCCCGUAUACUGUCAUUCUCUCUCUCUUUUCCUCAGACCUCACUCUCUCUCUCUCACCCUCUCGAACACACGGGCAACCAUCAAAACCACCCUAAAUCUAUACCAACGCCGGAUUUAAAACUACCAUUGCACUCCUGAGGACUCCACGAUCACGUAGACACCAAUUUCAGGUAAGUUUUACUUCGGAAAACCUAGAUUCUAAACUCCCCGUGAAAGUGCACUGUUCAUGCACACGUAAAUCUUGAUGUUUCAGGGAAUUUCAAGCUCACAUUGAGCUUAAGGAGGUCACGAGGAGGCUCGGAGUGCCUCGUUUGAACAAAAUGGACGUCGGGAUCACUUGGUUCGAGUUUGGCCGAAUUUUGGAAUUAUUGGAAAGGUAUGAUCUCGUUGUUUUUAGACCUUAAAACCAUUCCAACGUGAUAGUAGGUGUUUAGGGCUUCAUUUUGGUAUAAAGUACGAAAAAAAUGGACGAAAAACGAGUGAGAAUAGUUAAAUAGAAAUUUUUCCCAGUUUUCCGGUGACCGGAGUCCGGCGUCCGGCGAGAGUCCAUCGGAGAAGAAGCAGGAAUAUUCCGUUAGUUCUAACGGAAUAUUCCUGACGCCGUUAACGGAACGGUUAGGUUUUAACGGAAUAUUCCUGACGGCGUCAAUUGACACCGUCAGUGUGCUUGGCACGUGGCCGCGCGUGGGGGGCGCGUAGGUCCGUGCCACGUCAGGCGCGUGGGGGCGCGUGAGGACUCCAAAAAUUAUUUUAAAAAUAUGGGGAUGAUCCUGAGGUUGUUUAGGUCACGGUGGUAUAUUCAUAUACCCAAUUUGAGCAAUAUAUGAGGAGUUAUUAGCUAAGAGUGGGAUUAUGCGUUAAAUAACGUCAAUUUGGUUACUUCUCGUAUAGGCGAGGAUUAUACGGACAUCGGGCAUGGCCAAAGGAUGCUCAGGGACCUACGAGACGUCGAUGUAAUCUGUGAGUGGGCAGUUUUGUUUUCCGUAUAUAUAUAUAUACUUGACGCUUUCCCAGAAAUUGAAUUAGAAUGAAAUUAUGUUUUAAAUGAAAGGUAUAUAGAAUGAUAUGAAAACGUGAAUUGAAAGAUCAUGCAUAGAAGUAUAUGAAAUAUAUAUGGAAAUGUAAAUUGAAUUGCCAUGCAUGAAAUGAUAUGAAAAGUAUGAUUUGAGAUAUAUGAUGCAUAUGAAUGAAUGGUGCGGCGGACGCACAGGUGAGUAUCAGGUGAGUAUUUAAUUACUGUUAUGAUGAUGUUGAUGUAUAUUGAGCUCAAAUCCUGCACCUUGGUUUAGUGCUUAUAGUAUUCACCGCAUCGCACGCUCGCCUUGGAUCCAAGUAGAUGCUGGUCGCACAGUCCACGCGGAGUGGGUGCGACGGGCCAGUCGAAGAGUGUUAGUGAGAUUUCGACUGGUGGGUGACCUUAGAUUAUGUGCACAGAUGAUUAAUGAGAGAAGCACUAGAGCGUAACCUAUGUGCAGAAGGCCGUACAGGUCACAGAGGUGACUCCGGCAGAGUGAUAGUGAUAGAUUUUGAGCUCUAGAUUCAACCGUACAAGGCUAUUAGAGGGCCUCCGGUUGAUUUCUUUCUUGCACCUGAUAUGAUUAUUGUUAAUGCAUUCAUACUUAACUGUUCAAUUUAGACAUGGCAUGGCAUAACUGAUAUGAAAAAUGUUGAAAAAGUGAAUUGAAGUUUGAGAUUAUAUAUGUAUAUUUAUAUUUUACAUUUCUGGGAAAGUAUACAGGUUUUACGGAGAGGGGUUACAACGUUUUGAGAAAUGUUUGGAAUUGGAAAAGAAUUGUUUUACUGACCCACUCAAUUUUGGUUUUGCGCCCCUCCAGGUUCAGGAAUCACAAAGGUGUGGUGACUACGAGGAAUUCAGCGGGGUUCUGACAGAUUGGACAAAAUUAGGACUCA
rnacentral:lncRNA from 1 species